UACGUAGGCAGCAAGCGUUGUUCGGAGUUACUGGGCGUAAAGGGUGCGUAGGCGGCUUCUUAAGUCUGGUGUGAAAUCUCCCGGCUCAACUGGGAGGGUGCGCCGGAUACUGAGGGGCUAGAGUGUGGGAGAGGAAAGUGGGAAUUCCUGGUGGUAGCGGUGAAAUGCGUAGAUAUCAGGAGGAACGCCGGAGGCGAAAGCGGCGCACUGGAUCUCUACUGACGCUGAGGCGCGAAAGCCAGGGGAGCAAACGGG
rnacentral:rRNA from 1 species